GACGAACGCUGGCGGCGUGCCUAAUACAUGCAAGUAGAACGCUGAAGAGAGGAGCUUGCUCUUCUUGGAUGAGUUGCGAACGGGUGAGUAACGCGUAGGUAACCUGCCUUGUAGCGGGGGAUAACUAUUGGAAACGAUAGCUAAUACCGCAUACAAUGGAUGACCCAUGUCAUUUAUUUGAAAGGGGCAAAUGCUCCACUACAAGAUGGACCUGCGUUGUAUUAGCUAGUAGGUGAGGUAACGGCUCACCUAGGCGACGAUACAUAGCCGACCUGAGAGGGUGAUCGGCCACACUGGGACUGAGACACGGCCCAGACUCCUACGGGAGGCAGCAGUAGGGAAUCUUCGGCAAAGGGGGCAACCCUGACCGAGCAACGCCGCGUGAGUGAAGAAGGUUUUCGGAUCGUAAAGCUCUGUUGUAAGUCAAGAACGAGUGUGAGAGUGGAAAGUUCACACUGUGACGGUAGCUUACCAGAAAGGGACGGCUAACUACGUG
rnacentral:rRNA from 1 species